rnacentral:rRNA from 1 species
UACGUAGGUGGCGAGCGUUGUCCGGAAUUACUGGGUGUAAAGGGCGUGUAGGCGGGGAGACAAGUCAGAUGUGAAAUACCGCAGCUUAACUGCGGGGCUGCAUCUGAAACUGUUUCUCUUGAGUGUCGGAGAGGAAAGUGGAAUUCCUAGUGUAGCGGUGAAAUGCGUAGAUAUUAGGAGGAACACCAGUGGCGAAGGCGACUUUCUGGACGAUAACUGACGCUGAGGCGCGAAAGCGUGGGGAGCAAACAGG